AACGAACGCUGGCGGCGUGCCUAAUACAUGCAAGUCGAACGUGAAAAGGGGCAACCCUCAGUAAAGUGGCGCACGGGUGAGUAACACGUAGGUAAUCUGCCUUUCAGUGGGGAAUAACUUAGGGAAACCUGAGCUAAUGCCGCAUACGUAAGUAAUUAGAAAGUGGGCGCCGCAAGGGCUCAUGCUGAAAGAAGGGCCUGCGGCCUAUUAGCUAGUUGGUGGGGUAAUGGCCUACCAAGGCAACGAUAGGUAUCCGGUCUGAGAGGAUGAUCGGACACACUGGAACUGAGACACGGUCCAGACUCCUACGGGAGGCAGCAGUAGGGAAUAUUGCGCAAUGGGGGAAACCCUGACGCAGCAACGCCGCGUGAGUGAGGAAGGUCUUCGGAUUGUAAAACUCUUUUCUUAGGGAAAAAUGAUUAUGGAGCUAAUACCCCAUAAAGUGAUGGUACCUAAGGAAUAAGCACCGGCUAACUUCGUGCCAGCAGCCGCCGUAAUAC
rnacentral:rRNA from 1 species